rnacentral:rRNA from 1 species
GACGUAGGGCGCGAGCGUUUGUCCGGAUUUAUUGGGCGUAAAGAGCUCGUAGGCGGCUUGUCGCGUCGUCCGUGAAAACUUGGGGCUCAACCCCAAGCUUGCGGUCGAUACGGGCAGGCUAGAGUUCGGUAGGGGAGACUGGAAUUCCUGGUGUAGCGGUGAAAUGCGCAGAUAUCAGGAGGAACACCAGCGGCGAAGGCGGCGCUCUGGGCCGGUACUGACACUGAGGAGCGAAAGCGUGGGUAGCAAACAGG